rnacentral:lncRNA from 1 species
UAAAAUGUUAGAUUUGGAGGGGAGAUGUGCAGGUUUGUUACGUGGGUAUAUUGCAUGAUGCUGAAGCUUGGACUUCUAAUCAUCCUGUCCCCCAAGAAGUGAACUAAGUACCCUUGAUUCCCGUGCCUUCUCCUCUGCUUUUGGAAUCCCCAGUGUCUGCUGUUCCCAUCGUAAGCAGUUGCUUUAGACAGCAGCUCUAGGACGCUGGAGAAAAAUGUCCAUUUUACAAGUUAGGUGCCGAAGAAGCCACCUGAGAUGCAACAGCUUGCAUCCCUAACCCGAGGCUGGUGCGGCGCCCUUGCCCUGUGGGUCUGUUGCCCAGACCCGGACAUGCAACAAGUCCCAAACGAAGUCAGAUGAAGGGCCGAGGCCAUUAUGUAGAUAAACCAAGGGCAACAUUGGCUUCAUUCAUUCACUGGAAGCAGAAGCAAGAUGUCUAAACGGCUGUCUUCAUUCUCGGCUUGGCUACCAGGGAUCUCACCUCCUGGUAUUUGGAUGUUAGGAUACGUCACGGUGGGGCCAGUGUUUCUUUUGGGUAGAAAACUUCGGUUCAGGCUCUGAGGGAGGAAACAUUGUCAGCUAAAUGAAAUAGAGCCAAAAUUUCUUUUAUGUUUGGAGCCAAACCUUGGUCAAAAAUGGAAAGGCUUUGCCUCUGACACAGCCUGAUUUAAUUGUUGAACAAAGCCCUCUUCUUGUGGGGAAGAAAAAUGAGGACUCUAACAAUUAGCCUUCUAAAAUGUAGGCCUGCAAAAACAACUGGGAGGAAAUAGGCAGUGACAUCCAUCCGCCCACUGCUUCUUGGCCAGUUCAGGCCAAGGCCAAACAAAGGAAAAAUACAUCCAAUCGGUUCAAGAGUUCAGCUCUCCCUUCAUUAAGCGAAAAGCUGAGCUCCCCUCUCCCCGCCAGCCCAGAGCCCUGU